rnacentral:tRNA from 1 species
GCCUGGGUGGCUCAGUCGGUUAAGCAUCUGAUUUCGGUUCAGGUCAUGAUCUCACAGUUUGUGGGUUUGAGCCCCACAUCGGGCU